AAGACCACACGCCUGUCCUGUGGAGACAUCCUUCACCUGUUGCCUGAGGAACAAUCCAAACAUGGGAGAAAGAGUCAGAAAUCAUCAUGCUGGCCAGCCGUCAGCUGUCUCUUGCACUUCUGGCACUUCAGGCAUAGAGGAUGGUAGUCCCUCCCUAAGGACCUCUUCUUCUCCCCUGCACCAAAGACAAACAGCCGCAAAAUGAGGAACAGUUUAUCCAUUUUCACUAUUAAGGUGGAACAUAUUUUGUUUCUUUACACAUGUAAUAUGUCUUUACUUGCUUUAAAUACAGAGCGGUUUUAGCGCAGCUUUAAUGACAAAACAAUCUUGAAUUUUUGAUAUGCAUGUUUGUUAGACAUCUACCUUUUAAACCAAAAACCUGACUCAUGGUCUUCUAACAUGUUGGUAAAAUAUCUAUGUCCAAGAUUGCUGCACGCAACUUCUACAAAGCAGAGAUUUGGAGGGUUUCAUCUUGUUUUAAAAUGUUUACAGGGCAUAAAAUAUUUUAAAAAACUGAUUUUAAAUAAGUAAAAGUGGGUCAAUGACAGUCACAAAAAAGCACUUAACAGUAUUAGUAAGUAUUAAAACUAAAGAUUUUGGUGAAAAUGUGUUCAGUGUGUUUAGUGAACUUACAUUAUAAGUUUGUUUUGUUUUGUUCUUUACAUACAGUUUGUGUCCUUGGGUUGGGAAGAAAUGUGUUAAAUACAAGGUCUUAGAAACUAUUUCCAUCCUUUACAAAUGUAAUCUGAUUUUGCCUUUCAGUCAUAUACAACCUUAUGUGAAAAUACAGUUUAAUUUUUUGUUUGGUCAUGAAAGAAGUGUGAUCAACAACAAUUUUUUGGUUUGGUUUCUCGAGCCACAUCCACAGCAAUUAAUGUCUCCCUGUACCGUUCAAUAAAGAAAUUACUGGAACA